GCCCUAUUUAUUCGACUCAUGCAACUUUCUCUUUUUAUAUAUAUAUUUUUUUAUUGAGUAUAAAUUUAGUGAGAGUAUGAUCAUUCUUCUCAAGCUCAAGACCUCACCUCUCCGUCCCCUUGGAAGGAUAAGUGCCAACCGAGGUAAGGGCAAGUCCCUUUCAUAUCUGGGAUACAAAAUCUGAUACAAGGCAAACUCUUGCA
rnacentral:lncRNA from 1 species